GAUGAACGCUGGCGGCGUGCCUAAUACAUGCAAGUCGAGCGAACCACUUCGGUGGUGAGCGGCGAACGGGUGAGUAACACGUAGGCUAUCUGCCCAUCAGACGGGGACAACGAUUGGAAACGAUCGCUAAUACCGGAUAGGACGAAAGUUUAAAGGUGCUUCGGCACCACUGAUGGAUGAGCCUGCGGCGCAUUAGCUAGUUGGUAGGGUAAAGGCCUACCAAGGCGACGAUGCGUAGCCGACCUGAGAGGGUGAACGGCCACACUGGGACUGAGACACGGCCCAGACUCCUACGGGAGGCAGCAGUAGGGAAUCUUCGGCAAUGGGCGAAAGCCUGACCGAGCAACGCCGCGUGAAUGAUGAAGGCCUUCGGGUUGUAAAAGUCUGUUAUAAGGGAAGAAUGGCUUUAGUAGGAAAUGGCUAGAGUGUGACGGUACCUUACGAGAAAGCCACGGCUAACUACGUGCCAGCAGCCGCCGUAAUAC
rnacentral:rRNA from 1 species